CGGGACGUGGCGCAGCUUGGUAGCGCACCUGCUUUGGGAGCAGGGGGUCGUCGGUUCAAAUCCGACCGUCCCGA
rnacentral:tRNA from 1 species